rnacentral:rRNA from 1 species
GCUGACGAGUGGCGGACGGGUGAGUAAUGCUUGGGAAUCUGGCUUAUGGAGGGGGAUAACUACGGGAAACUGUAGCUAAUACCGCGUAGUAUCGAGAGAUGAAAGUGCGGGACCGUAAGGCCGCAUGCCAUGAGAUGAGCCCAAGUGGGAUUAGGUAGUUGGUGGGGUAAAGGCCUACCAAGCCUGCGAUCUCUAGCUGGUCUGAGAGGAUGGCCAGCCACACUGGAACUGAGACACGGUCCAGACUCC